rnacentral:rRNA from 1 species
UACGGAGGGUCCAAGCGUUAUCCGGAUUUAUUGGGUUUAAAGGGUGCGUAGGCGGACCUGUAAGUCAGUGGUGAAAUCCUGCAGCUUAACUGUAGAACUGCCAUUGAUACUGCUGGUCUUGAGUAUAGUUGAGGUAGGCGGAAUGAGUAGUGUAGCGGUGAAAUGCUUAGAUAUUACUCAGAACACCGAUUGCGAAGGCAGCUUACUAAGCUAUUACUGACGCUGAUGCACGAAAGCGUGGGGAUCGAACAGGAUUAGAUACCCUGGUAGUCCACGCCGUAAACGAUGCUCACUCGCUGUUUGCGAUAUAUUGUAAGCGGCCAAGCGAAAGUUUUAAGUGAGCCACCUGGGGAGUACGAUCGCAAGGUUGAA